UAUGGUAACCGCCGCGGUAAUACGUAGGGGGCAAGCGUUAUCCGGAUUUACUGGGUGUAAAGGGAGCGUAGACGGCUGUGCAAGUCUGAAGUGAAAGGCAUGGGCUCAACCUGUGGACUGCUUUGGAAACUGUGCAGCUAGAGUGUCGGAGAGGUAAGUGGAAUUCCUAGUGUAGCGGUGAAAUGCGUAGAUAUUAGGAGGAACACCAGUGGCGAAGGCGGCUUACUGGACGAUGACUGACGUUGAGGCUCGAAAGCGUGGGGAGCAAACAGG
rnacentral:rRNA from 1 species